rnacentral:misc_RNA from 1 species
AAGUCGUAACAAGGUUUCCGUAGGUGAACCUGCGGAAGGAUCAUUAAAAUAAUAAUGAAUGUCGGGAGGGAGGGCGCUUCGGUGCUUUUCCCCCCGUGUAUUCAACCAAACCCGCUCGUGUAUUUGGAUCAACCAAAAAAAUCAAACAAAAUUUUCUAACGAUAAUAAUUAAACAAACUUUCAACAACGGAUCUCUUGGCUCUC